AAACUAUAAAAAUACAUAAUAUUAAUUCAAUAAAAAAAUAAUCUAAAAAUACAACUUUGGAAAAGAACACAAGUAAACACUUCCGUAUUCAACAAUGCCGAACAACUUGGAUCUACCAGGAAAAAAAAAAAAAAAAAAACCCGCAGACACUGACACAUGAAAAGACAUGAAGCAGCUCCUUUGCUAGCACUUUGCCCUUUCAGUUCAUGGACUUUCCCUCUGUAACUUGUGCUUCAUUGCUGGGCACAUCUUUUACAAGAGGGUUGUGCAAGCUAGUAAGCAGAACCCAUUUUCUGGGCAGGCAAUUAGACAAUCUAGUGGCUUUGGCUUACAGAGCCGACACCAAUCUGGGAUCACUGGUUCUGUGAUGGUCUAGCAAGAACUGGGUAAUUACUUCUGCCAUGGAGGUGUUGGUCUGUAGCUCUGGAAGGAGAAAUGACAGGCAACGAGGGAGACAAGCACCUGCAAAGACAUAAAGACGGGUUAGUAGGUGGAUGUCACAAUUCCAUUUCUUUCUAUUUUCUUCUUUCCCAAUCGAUAUUUUCAAUCGCAACCCACAAUUUCAGCAAAUUUAUUUAUUCUCCAUAGUUCCCUCCAUUAAGAUAAGAAAAAGAGAGGAAUUCAGAACCAUUACAGCUUCCUUAUGGCUUCCAAAAUAGAGAUACGCCGAACAUCGCCAUGAACACACCUCAAGAGUUUUUUUUUUUUUUUGUGAGCUGGGAAAUGGAAAAUGUCAACAGUGAAAUAGUAAGAUUAGCCUCGAUGUAUUUUGAUUUUUAGGCCCUUUGAAUCGAUUCAAGUAAAAUAUAUCAUAUUCAAAUGUCUAUAUCACAUAGGAAGUUCACUCAACAACCUCGCCAAGGAAUUAAAUUAACACGGGCCGAUAGAAAAGACAAAGGAAAAAGGCAACAGCGAUGGAUGAUGGACCUCACCACCCCUGUCAAACAUCUCUCCGUGUAUCGAAUUUUUUUUUAUUGGAAAUGAAAAGGUUAUCUGGUCACCGACAAAAUUGUAACAGAAGGGAGGGAGGUAGCUAAGCUAACCACAGCUCAGAUGCAGCUUUUCUCGCUUUCUUUUCACCCCUGCUAAUAAAAUUAGGUUAUCUAUCUACAGCAACCAAAGCAGGCACGUGACCUCUGCAUGUUUACCUGCUCUUCCAUUAUGGUGGGUGGCGUUCAAGCUUCUAACGGGUACACAUUUAUGGGAAAGAAAAGGAUGUGGUCAUCAUUUGUUUUUGGGUGGUAAAUCACAUGAUUGUUGAUUCAAUAAAGAGAAAAACUUGUGUGAAAGUGGGAAUAUGGUGCAGCAUCAUGUCAACCAUGG
rnacentral:lncRNA from 1 species